rnacentral:tRNA from 1 species
AGGUCCGUUAGUCUAGAAAGACAUUAAGUUGCAGCCUUAAAGAUGUAAAGAGGGUUACACGGGCUUG